UGGGGAAUAUUGCACAAUGGGGGAAACCCUGAUGCAGCAACGCCGCGUGAGUGAUGACGGCCUGGUUGUAAGCUCUGUCUUCAGGGACGGAUAAUGACGGUACCU
rnacentral:rRNA from 1 species